rnacentral:rRNA from 1 species
UACGUAGGCAGCAAGCGUUGUUCGGAGUUACUGGGCGUAAAGGGUGUGUAGGCGGUUGGAUAAGUGUGGUGUGAAAUCUCCCGGCUUAACUGGGAGGGUGCGCUACAAACUGUCUGACUAGAGUGUGGGAUGGGAGAGUGGAAUUCCCGGUGUAGCGGUGAAAUGCGCAGAUAUCGGGAGGAACACCGGUGGCGAAGGCGGUUCUCUGGGCCUUACCUGAUGCUGAGGAGCGAAAGCGUGGGGAGCGAACAGG